rnacentral:rRNA from 1 species
UACGGGGGGGGCAAGCGUUGUUCGGAAUUACUGGGUGUAAAGGGCUCGUAGGUGGCCAACUAAGUCAGACGUGAAAUCCCUCGGCUUAACCGGGGAACUGCGUCUGAUACUGGACGGCUUGAGUUUGGGAGAGGGACGCGGAAUUCCAGGUGUAGCGGUGAAAUGCGUAGAUAUCUGGAGGAACCCCAGAGGCGAAGGCGGCGUUCUGGCUCGCAACUGACGCUCAGACACGACAGCAUGGGGAGCGAACGGG